UAACACGUGGGUAACCUGCCUGUAAGACUGGGAUAACUCCGGGAAACCGGGGCUAAUACCGGAUGCUUGAUUGAACCGCAUGGUUCAAUUAUAAAAGGUGGCUUUUAGCUACCACUUACAGAUGGACCCGCGGCGCAUUAGCUAGUUGGUGAGGUAACGGCUCACCAAGGCGACGAUGCGUAGCCGACCUGAGAGGGUGAUCGGCCACACUGGGACUGAGACACGGCCCAGACUCCUACGGGAGGCAGCAGUAGGGAAUCUUCCGCAAUGGACGAAAGUCUGACGGAGCAACGCCGCGUGAGUGAUGAAGGUUUUCGGAUCGUAAAACUCUGUUGUUAGGGAAGAACAAGUACCGUUCGAAUAGGGCGGUACCUUGACGGUACCUAACCAGAAAGCCACGGCUAACUACGUGCCAGCAGCCGCGGUAAUACGUAGGUGGCAAGCGUUGUCCGGAAUUAUUGGGCGUAAAGCGCGCGCAGGCGGUUUCUUAAGUCUGAUGUGAAAGCCCCCGGCUCAACCGGGGAGGGUCAUUGGAAACUGGGGAACUUGAGUGCAGAAGAGGAGAGUGGAAUUCCACGUGUAGCGGUGAAAUGCGUAGAGAUGUGGAGGAACACCAGUGGCGAAGGCGACUCUCUGGUCUGUAACUGACGCUGAGGCGCGAAAGCGUGGGGAGCGAACAGGAUUAGAUACCCUGGUAGUCCACGCCGUAAACGAUGAGUGCUAAGUGUUAGAGGGUUUCCGCCCUUUAGUGCUGCAGCAA
rnacentral:rRNA from 1 species